CGGAGGGUGCAAGCGUUAUCCGGAUUCACUGGGUUUAAAGGGUGCGUAGGUGGGCUAGUAAGUCCGUGGUGAAAUCUCCAAGCUUAACUUGGAAACUGCCGUGGAUACUAUUAGUCUCGAAUCUCAUGGAGGUAAGCGGAAUAUGUCAUGUAGCGGUGAAAUGCUUAGAUAUGACAUAGAACACCGAUAGCGAAGGCAGCUUGCUACACGAGUAUUGACACUGAGGCACGAAAGCGUGGGGAUCAAACAGGAUUAGAUACCCUGGUAGUCCACGCCCUAAACGAUGGAUACUCGACAUACGCGAUACACAGUGUGUGUCUGAGCGAAAGCAUUAAGUAUCCCACCUGGGAAGUACGACCGCAAGGUUG
rnacentral:rRNA from 1 species